GUACUCCCUUCGGCAGCACAUACACUAAAAUCGGAACAAUGCAGAGAAGAUUCACAUGGCCCCUGCACAAGAAUGGGCAAGUUUGUGAAGCAUUCCGUAUUUUU
ensembl:snRNA U6 U6 spliceosomal RNA